GACGAACGCUGGCGGCGUGCUUAACACAUGCAAGUCGAACGGAAAGGCCCUGCUUUUGUGGGGUGCUCGAGUGGCGAACGGGUGAGUAACACGUGAGUAACCUGCCCUUGGCUUUGGGAUAACUUCAGGAAACUGGGGCUAAUACCGGAUAGGAGCUCCUGCUGCAUGGUGGGGGUUGGAAAGUUUCGGCGGUUGGGGAUGGACUCGCGGCUUAUCAGCUUGUUGGUGGGGUAGUGGCUUACCAAGGCUUUGACGGGUAGCCGGCCUGAGAGGGUGACCGGCCACAUUGGGACUGAGAUACGGCCCAGACUCCUACGGGAGGCAGCAGUGGGGAAUAUUGCACAAUGGGCGGAAGCCUGAUGCAGCAACGCCGCGUGCGGGAUGACGGCCUUCGGGUUGUAAACCGCUUUCGCCUGUGACGAAGCGUGAGUGACGGUAAUGGGAAAAGAAGCACCGGCUAACUACGU
rnacentral:rRNA from 1 species